rfam:Dipodomys ordii contig_4011, whole genome shotgun sequence.
GGUGGCUCAGUGGUAAAGUGCUUGCCUUGCAUGCAUGAGGCCCUGGGUUCAAUGCCUCAGCACCA